rnacentral:rRNA from 1 species
UACGUAUGGGGCGAGCGUUGUCCGGAAUCAUUGGGCGUAAAGGGUUCGUAGGCGGUUUAUUAAGUCGAGUGUGAAAGGUUGGGGCUCAACCCCAUAAAGCAUUCGAAACUGAUAAACUUGAGAUGUGGAGAGGAAAGUGGAAUUCCUAGUGUAGCGGUGACAUGCGUAGAUAUUGGGAAGAACACCGGUGGCGAAGGCGACUUGCUGGGCAGCAACUGACGCUGAGGCGCGAAAGCCAGGGGAGCAAACGGGAUUAGAUACCCGCGUAGUCCCUGA